GAAAGUGUAGUUAAAUUAUAAUGGGUAGCUUGAAACUGCUAGUUGGCUCUUGGGGUCCCUUUCU
rnacentral:tRNA from 1 species